rnacentral:lncRNA from 1 species
GGAGACUGCAGUAGGAGAUCAAUGAAGGGAAAGGAUCAGAGAGGAGGCAGAGAUAAAAGUGAGAGCGAAGUGAGUGGAAGAGACAGAAGGAAAGAGCAAGAGGUAAAUAGAAAGGGAAAGAAAGAGAGAGAGAGAGAGAGAAGAGAGAGAGGGGAAAGAGAGAGGUAAAUAGAAAGGGGAAGAAAGAGAGAGAGAGAAGAGAGAGAGGGGAAAGAGAGGUAAAUAGAAAGGGAAAGAAAGAGAGAGAGAAGAGAGAGGGGAAAGAGAGAGGUAAAUAGAAAGGGGAAGAAAGAGAGAGAGAGAAGAGAGAGAGGGGAAAGAGAGAGGUAAAUAGAAAGGGGAAGAAAGAGAGAGAGAGGGGGGAAAGAGAGAGGUAAAUAGAAAGGGAAAGAAAGAGAGAGAGAAGAGAGAGAAGGGAAAGAGAGAGGUAAACAGAAAGGGAAAAAAGAGAGAGAAGAGAGAGAGAGAGAAGAGAGGGGAAAGAGAGAGGUAAAUAGAAAGGUGAAGAAAGAGAGAGAGAGAGAGAGAGAGAGAGGGGAAAGAGAGAGGUAAAUAGAAAAGGGAAGAAAGAGAGAGAGAGAGAAUGAGGGGAAAGCUAAAAUAGCUAAAACAGAUUCGGAGAAGAAGUUUUACGUGCCCCCAACCAAUUGUAUUUUUUGUUCUUUUAUGUGUGUUUUUUGUAACUUAUUUUGUACAUAAUGUUGCCACUACCAUCACUUAGGAUCAAAAAUAACUUCUGGACAUCAGGACUGCUAUUACUCACCACGGACUGGAUGAAUAAUUUUUUUCCUUUAACGAGUCUGACGAGCGCGACAAACAAUAUAGUGCUUUCCCGGGAACAGGCCCAGAUCCCCGUGAUGUGCGUGAAGACGAGGCGUAGAAAAAGGGGCCUGAGGGCGGGCUGCCUUCUGAGAACUUGUAGGCGAUCGAAUAAACCCCCACUUCCUUCCAUUCUGCUAGCAAACGUGAAAUCUUUGGACAAUAAAAUAGAUGACCUACGCAGAAGAUUAAUCUACCAACGGGACAUUCAAAACUGUAAUAUCUUAUGCUUCACGGAGUCGUGGCUGAACGACGACACUAUCAACAUAUAGCUGGCUGGUUAUACACUGCACUGGCAGGAUAGAACAAUGGCGUCUGGUAAGACAGAGGGUGGAGAACUAUGUAUUUUUAUAAAUAACGGCUGGUGCACGAUAUCUAUGGAAGUCUCGAGCUAUUGCUCGCCUGAGGUAGAGUAUCUCAUGAUAAGCUUUAGACCACACUAUUUACCUAGAGAGUUUUCAUCUGUGUUUUUCAUAGCUGUUUACAUACCACCACAGUCAGAAGCUGUUUUCCGCCAUAAGCAAACAAGAAAACGCUCACCCAGAGGCAGGGCAACCUAGUAGACGGGGACUUAAAUCCAUUUUACUACAUUUCUAUCAGCAUGUUUAAUGUGCAACCAGAGGGAAAAAAACUCUGGACCACCUUUACUCCACACACAGAGACGCAUACAAAGCUCUACCUCGCCCUCCAUUUGGCAAAUCUGACCAUAAUUCUAUCCUCCUGAUUCCUGCUAACAAGCAACAAUUAAAGCAGGAAGCAUUAGUGACAAGAUCAAUAAAAAAGUGGUCAGAUGAAGCACACUCUAAACUACAGGACUGUUUUUCUAGCACAGACUGGAAAAUGUUCCGGGGUUCCUCCGAUGGUAUUGAGGAGUACACCACAUCAGUCAUUGGCUUCAUCAAUAAGUGCAUCGAUGAAAGUCAUCCCCACAGAGACCGUACGUACAUAUCCCAACCAGAUGUCAUGGGUUACAGGCAACAUCCGCACUGAGCUAAAGGUUAGAGCUGCCGCUUUCAAGGAGCGGAACUCUAACCCGGAAGCUUAUAAGAAAUCCCUCUAUGCCCUCUGACGAACCGUCAAACAGGCAAAGCGCCAAUACAGGACUAAGAUCGAAUCGUACUACAACGGCUCUGAGUCUUGUCGGAUGUGGAAUGGCUUGCAAACCAUUACAGACUACAAAGCAUCGUCCCUUACAGAAUGCAGCAGCCAUCAAAUGAAGCAUCAGGGAGUGCUGGCGGUUCGGAUGGUGGUGACAUCGGGUUCGGGGACUGCCACUGAUGGAACCGGGGGUGCCUUAGCUGGAUCGUUGGGUUUCCAUGCCCUAGCCGGCUCCAGAGGUUUCUUUGCCCCGGUUGUCUCUGAAGGCGCACAUCCCACAUCAGGCCUC